GCCUCGGUGGCGUAGCGGUCUAGGCGUUCGGCUGGUAAACAGGAGGGCUCGGGUUCAAUCCCACCUGAGGCA
rnacentral:tRNA from 1 species